UAAGCACGAAACUUGCCCCGAGAUGAGUUCUCCCUGAGACUUAAAGUCUCCUGAAGGAACGUUGAAGACGACGACGUUGAUAGGCCGGGUGUGUAAGCGCAGCGAUGCGUUGAGCUAACCGGUACUAAUGAACCGUGAGGCUUAACCUUACAACGCCGAAG
rnacentral:rRNA from 2 species